rnacentral:pre_miRNA from 1 species
CUGUGGCACAGAAGGCAGCACUCAGGACAAUCUCCAGCAUGGCCUGGGCUCCUCUCCUCCUCACGGUCCUGGCUCACUCCACAGGUGA